rnacentral:rRNA from 1 species
CCCCUAGAUGUUCUGGGCCGCACGCGCGCUACACUGACAGAGCCAACGAGUUCUUCACCUUGGCCGGAAGGUCUGGGUAAUCUUGUUAAACUCUGUCGUGCUGGGGAUAGAGCAUUGCAAUUAUUGCUCUUCAACGAGGAAUGCCUAGUAAGCGCGUGUCAUCAGCACGCGUUGAUUACGUCCCUGCCCUUUGUACACACCGCCCGUCGCUACUAUCGAUUGAAUGGCUCAGUGAGGCCUUCGGACUGGCUCAGGGAGGUUGGCAACGACCACCCCGAGCCGGAAAGUUCGUCAAACUCGGUCAUUUAGAGGAAGUAAAAGUCGUAACA